rnacentral:piRNA from 1 species
UGGGAGUGUGUCUCAUCUAGAGAGA